UACAGAGGUCUCAAGCGUUGUUCGGAUUCAUUGGGCGUAAAGGGUGCGUAGGCGGCGCGGUAAGUCGGGUGUGAAAUCUCGGAGCUUAACUCCGAAACUGCAUUCGAUACUGCCGUGCUUGAGGACUGGAGAGGAGACUGGAAUUUACGGUGAGCGGUGAAAUGCGUAGAUAUCGUAAGGAAGACCAGUGGCGAAGGCGAGUCUCUGGACAGUUACGUGA
rnacentral:rRNA from 1 species